UACGGAGGGGGCAAGCGUUAUUCGGAAUCAUUGGGCGUAAAGGGCGCGUAGGCGGCUUCAUAAGUCUUGGGUGAAAGCCCUCGGCUCAACCGAGGAAUUGCCUUGGAUACUGUGAAGCUCGAGGCUGGAAGAGGGCAGUGGAAUUCCCGGUGUAGCGGUGAAAUGCGUAGAUAUCAAGCGGAACACCAGUGGCGAAGGCGAGUCCCUGGACAACUCCUGACACUGAGGCACGAAAGCUAGGGGAGCAAACGGG
rnacentral:rRNA from 1 species